rnacentral:rRNA from 1 species
AGAAUAAUUCACAAUGGGGGCAACCCUGAUGGUGCAACGCCGCGUGGAGGAUGACGGUCUUCGGAUUGUAAACUCCUGUCAUCCGGGAGUAAGACCUGGCGAUGAAUAGUCGACGGGGUUGAUAGUACCGGAAGAGGAAGGGACGGCUAACUUAGGGCCAGCAGCCGCGGUAAUACGAAGGUCCCGAGCGUUGUUCGGAGUCACUGGGCGUAAAGGGAGCGUAGGCGGCGUGGUAAGUCAGAUGUGAAAUCCCGGGGCUCAACCCCGGAACUGCAUCCGAUACUGCCGUGCUAGAGGAUUGGAGAGGUAGCUGGAAUUCACGGUGUAGCAGUGAAAUGCGUAGAUAUCGUGAGGAACACUCGUGGCGAAAGCGAGCUACUGGACAACUCCUGACGCUGAGGCUCGAAGGCCAGGGUAGCGAAA